rnacentral:lncRNA from 1 species
AUGAAAUUUAAAAACCGCACAUUCUUAAACUCGCCGCUAAUUUUAACCAUGCGGUUAUUUGGAGUCUUUCCAAUAAAUCCAGAUACGCUCAAGUGUUCACGUUUUGACGUCAUUUACUGCUGCUGUUCGGGGGUCCUGUCAAUUCUGGAGCUGCUCUACACUCCGGUCUUCAUCAUCCACCAAAAAGACAAACUGGUCCCCGCCAACUUUCCAUUGACCACCACUAUCAUGUUCAUGCAGUCCACUAUCACGUCCAUAGCCGCUCGUUACACCGCCCUCCACAGAGUGAUAAAAUAUUUCCCGAGAAUCAACGAAAAUAUAAUCAAAACCACCAGUCUGUUAUACACCCACAGCUUAGCCGACGAAAAGUACAAACGGGAAAGAGCGUUGCUCAGAAAUAGAUUAUUGUGUAUUUUCAUUUUUAUCGGAGUUGUGGGGCUUAAUGUAAAUCGAGUUCAAUGUUUUAUCAGGAUGUCAGAAAUUAUAAGCGACACAAUUUACUUCGUUUACUUUAUCAUGUUUCAAAAUAGUGUUGUUCUGCUCUUUGAAAUCCUCUUUCUACGCACUGUCGCGCAGUUAAAUUUGAAUUUCUCGAAGAUAAAUAAAGAACUUGAGUUGAUCCUGGAGGAAACUGAGCUUUUUGAAAAACAAGCUCAGCGCCUAAUGUGCAAGGUUGAAGGAGCUGAGAAAGUCAAUAAGGAUGAUAAAAGCAGUAGUAGAAUGACUUCUACUACACACGGACAUCCUAUCAGGUCUCCUUACGUUUGGCCGAGCUCGGGAAGAUCAUGCGACAGUACGUUGAAACUGAAUAUUGAGAUGGUUGAAACUCCGGAAAUAUUCCCCAUGAACACGCUCAGCCGGUUAAAACGACUUUUUUUCUUGCAUAUUCAAUGCAGUGAAGCAGUAGAAUCGUCGAAUAGUCUCUUUGAGGUGCAGCUACUUUUCUCCGUAUUUCGACUGUUUUGCAUCAGUUUUUUGAUCAUGUAUCAACACCUCUCCAGAUACGUUGAGUACGGAUUUGCAUACACGGUUCUGAUAUACGUGUAUUUUUUCUUCAUUAUUCUUAGAUCCACGCUCUUAACUUCAAGUGCUGGCUGCACAAUUUCUGAGGUACGGACAUAG